AAACCCUCAAGCGCUGCUUGGUGUUGGGCGCUUGUCCCGCCUCCGGGCGCGGACUCGCCUCAAAAGCAUUGGCGGCCCGUGUAGUCGGCUUCGAGCGCAGCACUCGCGCCUCGCGAACCACUGGCACGGGCGUCCAUGGAGACAACCCCCAA
rnacentral:misc_RNA from 1 species